ACGCACGCGCAGCCGCGCCAGUGAUAUCACUCAUCACGUGCUGUCGAACGCGGAAAUCGCUCUCGCCAGGUCUGUCUGUUCGCUCCGCCGUCAUUGAUUGCGUCUUUUGCGGCUGCUACUAUAUUCGGCUCUUCCAUAUUGAAUUGCGUGGAGUCUUCCCCGCGUUCCAGUCAUGGCACCUGUAAAAGUGGAGGUUGAAUACUGUGGCGGAUGAGGGUACGGCUCGCGCUUCGAAGAAUUGAAGCGCGUCAUCUUGGCCAAAGUGCCAGAUGCAGUUGUCACCGGAACUGUGGGUCGUAAAACAUCCUUUGAAGUCAAAGUUAAUGGGGCAACGAUUUUCUCCAAACUGCAGAAGGGGGCCUUCCCUAACUUCGAUCAGGUAGCCGCGGCUGUACUGCAAGCAAGCCAAGGCAAACCUGUCCAGCCCAUAUAGCGCUUCAGAUUGUGCAGAUGAGUGCUAAAUCUCCUUGAGCAGGCAAGGAGCACAAGUAUCUGGUGGCCAGCAAGUUGAACCUGAAUGAUGGGUGCCUUCCAAAGCAGUUUUAUGCAGGUGGUGCCUUGAAGAAUGUGCAAUAGCGCUGCUGUUACUUGAGUUCAUUCUGCCUGUACAAGCGCUCAAGUAAAGAUUGUCUUCUACAAAAUCCUC